GAAAGGCCCUUCGGGGUACUCGAGCGGCGAACGGGUGAGUAACACGUGAGCAACCUGCCCUAGGCUUUGGGAUAACCCUCGGAAACGGGGGCUAAUACCGAAUAUUCACUUGCGGGCGCAUGUUUGUGGGUGGAAAGUUUUUCGGCUUGGGAUGGGCUCGCGGCCUAUCAGCUUGUUGGUGGGGUGAUGGCCUACCAAGGCGACGACGGGUAGCCGGCCUGAGAGGGCGACCGGCCACACUGGGACUGAGACACGGCCCAGACUCCUACGGGAGGCAGCAGUGGGGAAUAUUGCACAAUGGGCGGAAGCCUGAUGCAGCGACGCCGCGUGAGGGAUGACGGCCUUCGGGUUGUAAACCUCUUUCAGCAGGGACGAAGCGCAAGUGACGGUACCUGCAGAAGAAGCGCCGGCCAACUACGUGCCAGCAGCCGCGGUAAGACGUAGGGCGCGAGCGUUGUCCGGAUUUAUUGGGCGUAAAGAGCUCGUAGGCGGCUUGUCGCGUCGACUGUGAAAACCCACGGCUCAACUGUGGGCUUGCAGUCGAUACGGGCAGGCUAGAGUUCGGUAGGGGAGACUGGAAUUCCUGGUGUAGCGGUGAAAUGCGCAGAUAUCAGGAGGAACACCGGUGGCGAAGGCGGGUCUCUGGGCCGAAACUGAC
rnacentral:rRNA from 1 species